CUGAUAUCGGGCACAGCGUACUUCCGGUUUCUGCUCGCACUAACAAAAUGCCUGGCGCGAAUUGUGUUUUGUUCGGAUGUUCCGCCUGCAAUAAAAGAAAUCGGGGUUGAUCAUUCUAUCGCUUACCCAAAAACAACAUAGAGUGGAGAGAGAAUCAUUACGUAUCAUACAGUCUACCAGAUCAGACCCGAUAAAUGACAAGACCUUGACAAUAUGUUCAAGACACGUUGAGCCGGAUUAUUUCGUUGAAAAAAUGUUUACAAAAAUUCUGGGUCCACAUAUCGAAGAUUAAAAGAAGGGUUAGGGAGACUAUCAACCUUAAUUCUUCUACAGAAAAGCGUAACAACAAAGAAAUGGAAUCCAAGGAAGUCACCGAGUCCAAGGAAAACCGAGGAAACUCAAUGUUUACAUAUGAACGAAGUAACCUUUCAGAUGUUGCAGAAAUCAUUUUUAUGUCAAAUGCCUGCUUUGUGGCUAUGUCAGUCUUCAAGUGAUUAUAUCUAUCUGUUUAAAACUGAAGAUAAAAGUGUAACAUACCAUUUAACCAUUGACAAGGACUUGAAUUGUGAA